GUCUAGUGGACCUAAUUUGCAGAGGUUUUGAGUCCAUGUGGUUCCCAUUUAUAGCAAGUAAAAUAGAGGGUGUUCAGCACAUCUGAAAAUCCUGCUUAGUUUGUAUGAAGUCUCAAGUUCAUCACUCAAAUGUGGAGACAUUCAGCAACAGCAGCAGAUCAGUAUAAAACCAUUGAAAGAACAGAACACAAGACGGGAUGGGAGGAUUAAAAUAAGACAGCCAAUGUAAGGAGAUCUAUUGCUAUAAUUUCCCGUGACUGAUCAUCUCAACCUGAGACUGAAUUUUUUUUGAAAAGUUUGAACAGAAUCCAACCUGGCAUUUUGAUUGUUCUCUUGCUUUUGUGGCUUACUCAGGCCCUAUGGCCUCUGCUGAAGAUGAAGGAAACGCAUCAGAAGGGGGCCAUCAGGACUUUCCUGACCAGACAAAACUGGUAGUGAGAGCUCUGACUGCCUAGGAAGAGUAAGUGGAAGCUUCAGCUGAUACAAAAUGCAGCCUUGGCAUUGGAGUGCAGAGGAGGCUGUUGAUAUCUGAAAGCGGGUGCAUGAUCCUCACUCAAAAGUAAGCCUGUAUAAGAAUCAUAAAGGGAACAAAGGCUAGUAUAACAAUGUGUAAAAUAUAGCAUCAAGCAAAAGGGGG